GAAUAUUGGACAAUGGGGGGAACCCUGAUCCAGCCAUGCCGCGUGUGUGAAGAAGGCCUUUUGGUUGUAAAGCACUUUAAGCGAGGAGGAGGCUACUCUAGUUAAUACCUAGCGAUAGUGGACGUUACUCGCAGAAUAAGCACCGGCUAACUCUGUGCCUGCAGCCGCGGUAAUACAGAGGGUGCAAGCGGUAAUCGGACUUACUGGGCGUAAAGCGCGCGUAGGUGGCCAAUUAAGUCAAAUGUGAAAUCCCCGAGCUUAACUUGGGACUUGCAUUCGAUACUGGUUGGCUAGAGUAUGUGAGAGAAUGGUAGAAUUCCAGGUGUAGCGGUGAAAUGCGUAGAGAUCUGGAGGAAUACCGAUGGCGAAGGCAGCCAUCUGACCUAAUACUGACACUGAGGUGCGAAAGCAUGGGGAGCAAAC
rnacentral:rRNA from 1 species